rnacentral:rRNA from 1 species
CUACGGGGGGCAGCAGUGGGGAAUAUUGCACAAUGGGCGCAAGCCUGAUGCAGCCAUGCCGCGUGUAUGAAGAAGGCCUUCGGGUUGUAAAGUACUUUCAGCGGGGAGGAAGGGAGUAAAGUUAAUACCUUUGCUCAUUGACGUUACCCGCAGAAGAAGCACCGGCUAACUCCGUGCCAGCAGCCGCGGUAAUACGGAGGGUGCAAGCGUUAAUCGGAAUUACUGGGCGUAAAGCGCACGCAGGCGGUUUGUCAAGUCAGAUGUGAAAUCCCCGGGCUCAACCUGGGAACUGCAUCUGAUACUGGCAAGCUUGAGUCUCGUAGAGGGGGGUAGAAUUCCAGGUGUAGCGGUGAAAUGCGUAGAGAUCUGGAGGAAUACCGGUGGCGAAGGCGGCCCCCUGGACGAAGACUGACGCUCAGGUGCGAAAGCGUGGGGAGCAAACAGGAUUAGAUACUCUCGUAGUC